UACGUGGAGGGCAAGCGUUGUCCGGAUUUAUUGGGCGUAAAGAGCGUGUAGGCGGCCAGGUAGGUCAGCUGUGAAAACUCGAGGCUCAACCUCGAGACGCCGGUUGAAACCAUCUGGCUAGAGUCCGGAAGAGGAGAGUGGAAUUCCUGGUGUAGCGGUGAAAUGCGCAGAUAUCAGGAAGAACACCCGUGGCUAAGGCGGCUCUCUAGUACGGUACUGACGCUGAGACGCGAAAGCGUGGGGAGCGAACAGG
rnacentral:rRNA from 1 species